UCUAGCCGGUUAUGAUAGCCC
rnacentral:siRNA from 1 species